CAGCAGCAGGUCGUCAACGCGGUGAGCAGGAGGCGGCAGCAGGGGGCGCCGUUGGUGGCUGACGGCGGGGCCCGCGCGCCGAGGAGGCCCCGGGUGGUUCGGUCGGUGGACGAGGACCUGUACAAGGUCCAUCCCGAUCUGCUCCCCAAGAAGGGCAAAGGGAGGAAGCAUGUGAGGAGCCUGUGGAUGGGCUGCGUGGGGCUCAACUGCGUCGCCUGACGUGAAGAGACAGUCGGCAGCGGGUAUCCGGUGCCCUGCCCCGCGGCAUGCACCAUCGUAUCCUCUUGUCUUGUCAUGUAGCCUUUUCGUCCUGCUUUUCCGCGUAUGGAAAGAAGAGAUGACGACCGGAGCACCACCACAUCCACAAGGCUUUCCACCGUCACCUUUCUGCUGCCGUGCUCUUGCUACCUGUUUCGUCGUGCACAGGGAUGCAGCAGGUCCGUGUUGCACCUUGUGGACAACGGAACAGCUAGUCUGUGUGAUGCACUCGGAUCCGGAUGCCAAUACUCGUACAUGUAAAUUGCAUGUUGUACCGUGCGGUUGAUGAUCAGUUGCUCUGAGUUGUCCACGGUGUCAUUUCUACGCGCAUGUAUGAUCAACUACUUAUUCCCAUUUA